rnacentral:rRNA from 1 species
UGAGGAAUAUUCGGCAAUGGGGGAAACCCUGACCGAGCAACGCCGCGUGGAGGAUGACGGUUUUCGGAUUGUAAACUCCUUUUCUCAGGGAAGAGUGAGGACGGUACCGUGGGGAAUAAGUCACGGCUAACUACGUGCCAGCAGCCGCGGUAAUACGUAGGUGGCAAGCGUUAUCCGGAAUUACUGGGCGUAAAGCGCACGCAGGUGGUUGGUUAAGUCUGACGUGAAAGCUCCUGGCUUAACUGGGAGAGGUCGUUGGAGACUGGCCGACUUGAGGCGAGGAGAGGGGUGUAGAAUUCCCGGUGUAGUGGUGGAAUGCGUAGAGAUCGGGAGGAAUACCAGUGGCGAAAGCGGCACCCUGGCCUUGGCCUGACGCUCAGGUGCGAAAGCGUGGGGAGCGAA